rnacentral:piRNA from 1 species
UCCUAGCACAGGUGCUCCUGAGCGUCUGU